CCAGGCCAAAGACGUGUCAGGAACAAGCCUAGAACAUGCCUAUACCAAUGGGUACCCAUUCUGCCUCAGAUACAUGCCUAACAUGUAAGAAGCUCAGCUGUUGGAAGGGUCAUGCAAAGCCUGUGAACACCUCUGAACCUUGAAACAAGACAUUCACCAGAGACAGCCAUGAUUGGACCCAGGGACAUCCCUAUGACAUCAAUACCUUGGCAAGAUGAGGGAUCACUAUAUAUUUGUAUUUUACUAAUGGAGGAACAAUAUGAAGAGUGAUGUGUGGUGACUGUCACAUUACAAUAAUAUAAAAUU